rnacentral:misc_RNA from 1 species
CCCAAAUCCAAUACCCAGCAUCCACUUUCUCCAAAAUUAGCCGCGAUUCAAAGCUUCUUAUUUUACCUUCUCCGUUGUUCAAGCGAAGGAUAGAUGGCUCGUACCAAGCAGACCGCUAGGAAGUCCACAGGAGGCAAAGCCCCACGGAAGCAGCUGGCAACAAAGGCAGCUCGCAAGUCAGCACCAGCCACCGGAGGUGUCAAGAAGCCCCACCGAUUCAGGCCUGGAACUGUUGCCUUGAGAGAAAUUAGGAAGUAUCAGAAGAGCACUGAGCUUUUGAUUCGCAAGCUUCCUUUCCAGAGGCUGGUGAGAGAAAUUGCUCAAGAUUUUAAAACCGACCUUAGAUUCCAAAGCAGCGCUGUUGCGGCCCUUCAAGAAGCUGCGGAGGCGUAUUUAGUGGGGCUUUUUGAGGACACUAAUCUCUGUGCUAUUCAUGCUAAGAGAGUCACUAUUAUGCCUAAGGAUAUGCAGUUGGCUCGUAGGAUUAGGGGUGAAAGGGCAUAAAUUCUCUUCAAGUCUAUGCCUUCGUAUGAUUGUAUCUAACUUUCCAUCUAUACUACCUCUGGGCUGCAAUUUUAUGUAUUUUGGGUUUUGGAUGCGUUCAGUCUACCAUGUAAAAUUCUCUGGAGAUUUUAUCGAGUAAUUCAAAAAUGGCUUUCAAAUUUCACGCCUUUCACUAGUAUGAUCUUUUUUCAAUGCAUUAUGUUUGCUAUACUUAUCGAGAGUUGGAGAUCUUGGUUGUGGUGGAGCCAUGGAUGGAAGAGGAGUCUAAUUGAAUUGAAUGAGAGGUUUAAGCCCAAGUACCUCCAUCCUUCUGCUUUGCUUGUUCAAUCCCACUCCGAGAUUCUUCGGUUUUCAUUUUCAAUUUUGCUUUCUCGUCUAGUACAGUGUUAAUUCUUUUGAGAGGUGAUUUCGAUAUUCUAAUUUUGAUUUGUUUAAUGAAUAGAUUGGAGCAUUUCUGCAAUUUUACCAUGUGGAGUUCCAUAUCAAACGUAUGCAAUGUCACUACUUAGCUCUCUCUUCUGUUAAACUUUUUUUUUUUGGUUUCUUUUGGCUCGAGAUCUCUCCUGAGCCAAUAAGCUUUAGUUCAGCUCAUUGAUCGGUAUUAUUGAAGCUUUUAUUAGUUUAAUUGUGG